rnacentral:rRNA from 1 species
AGUGAACGCUGGCGGUAGGCCUAACACAUGCAAGUCGAACGGCAGCACAGUAAGAGCUUGCUCUUACGGGUGGCGAGUGGCGGACGGGUGAGGAAUACAUCGGAAUCUACUUUUUCGGGGGGGAUAACGUAGGGAAACUUACGCUAAUACCGCAUACGACCUACGGGUGAAAGCAGGGGAUAUUCGGACCUUGCGCGAUUGAAUGAGCCGAUGUCGGAUUAGCUAGUUGGCGGGGUAAAGGCCCACCAAGGCGACGAUCCGUAGCUGGUCUGAGAGGAUGAUCAGCCACACUGGAACUGAGACACGGUCCAGACUCCUACGGGAGGCAGCAGUGGGGAAUAUUGGACAAUGGGCGCAAGCCUGAUCCAGCCAUACCGCGUGGGUGAAGAAGGCCUUCGGGUUGUAAAGCCCUUUUGUUGGGAAAGAAAAGCAGCAGGUUAAUACCCCGCUGUUCUGACGGUACCCAAAGAAUAAGCACCGGCUAACUUCGUG